GGCAUGGUGGCUCGUGAGCUGCUGCCUUGAUGGUGCUGACGGGUAAAAAAGGAUCAUGUUAUCAGCAGCUCUCUGUGAGGUUCCUGAGGGAUGGCUGGAGCUCCUGCAGCAAGACCGCCUCAUCCAGCCCGUACAUACAGAGGCAGAGCAGGACGAUGCUCUGCCUGGAGUGCACCACCCACCAUGUGCUCCUGGAGAUGCUCCGGAACUCCCGGUCGAGCCACCGGAGCAGGGGUCUGAGGUUGGGCUGCUGCUGGAAAAAGGCAGCCCAGACCUCAGGAGGGAAGCUGUUCUCCGGAGCGACGAAUGCUGGCUCUGCGGGCCACUGCUCACCCUGCAGGCCAGAACCAGAGCGUGCUGCGGGCUGUGGGACGGCACACUCGAGGCGCUGCAGCGGGCAGAAGGUGUCACAAACUGGAAAAGAGAGAGAGAGGCUGUGGUCACUCCCUGUCCCCGGG
ensembl:lncRNA